rnacentral:lncRNA from 1 species
ACUCAGCUGACGGGCAGGCUCCUUAUCGUGGAUGCAGGAGAGGGACCACCAGAAAGGCCCCACCAAAAAAAAAAGCACAUCUGGGCAGAGAGUGUCGGAACAGAAGAGCUAUGUUGUCCCUUGCACCUUGAAGUGAUGAGCAUUGGCAGAUCUCCUGAUCUCAGCCUGGGGCUGCUGACGGUUCAGGUCCAUUUCAGAGAGAGAGAGAGAGCAACAUGCAUGGGGUGAACCUCAAAAGAGAAAAUCUCUGAGACAGGCUGUCUAGACAUUGCAGAUGUGGACAGAUGUUGGGUCUGUAAUUUAUAACAACGGCCUCCAGAAGGCAAUUCCAAUUUGUUUCGCACUAGGAACUGAGCCCAGGACCUCCAACAACACACCAGUCAAGAACUCUACUACUGAGUUAUCCUCCCAACCUCUAGUAUGGGUAGAGGGAUCCUGGAAGACAGCCCGGAGGAAGAAGUCACCAUUUGCUACAGAGGGGACAAAUGGCUCAGAAUGGCAAUUCAGGGCCCCCAGCUUUCUGUUUUUAGAAUCUCUUUUGGAGCCUGGGCCUGAGAGAUGGAGUUAGGUAACCCCGGCGGUUACCGCCUGAACCACUCCUGCUGGCUGCAAAGAAUUGAGGAAGGAGGAACCAGUCUCUGAGCUGUGCGACCCCCAAACUGCUGGCUUCUCCGACCUCAACUGUGUUGUGGAACCGCCAGGGGGCGGCGCGACCCUGUUGGUCGCCAAGGGGAUCUCCGUGCUUCCUCGUCGAGGCUGUCUGUGACCUGUCGCUUCCAAUGCCUGGUCCUUGCAUGGCCAACGACCUCUACCCUCUCCCAGAGGCCUUAAGCUUGUAACCUGUCCCCUCCUGGACUGUGAAAAGAACAUAUAGCCCGACCUCCCUGCCAACAAGCUGUACCAUUGGGAAGAGGAGAGCCCAACGGUAGAAGCUCAUCAAUGAUUCCCAGCCUCUGUUUCCAUCAGAAUUGCUUGAUGAAGCUCCUUUAACACAAAUAGAUUUACUCACAUUCCUUAACUGUAAAAGGUGUGCAUGUGCCAGCAGGGGGUUCUGGAAUCAUGUACCUUUGUCAGAGCUCCCCCAUUUAAUUCUGAUACAAUUCCACGUAUUACCUAAAGAGAACCACUACUGAUG